UACGUAGGGUGCAAGCGUUAAUCGGAAUUACUGGGCGUAAAGCGUGCGCAGGCGGUUUUGUAAGUUUGUCGUGAAAUCCCCGGGCUCAACCUGGGAAUGGCGAUGAAGACUGCAAGGCUAGAAUCUGGCAGAGGGGGGUAGAAUUCCACGUGUAGCAGUGAAAUGCGUAGAGAGUGUGGAGGAACACCGAUGGCGAAGGGCAAGCCCCCUGGGUCAAGAUUGG
rnacentral:rRNA from 1 species